CUCCUGAUAGCUCAGAUGGCUAGAGCGUCCGACUGUAAUAGUUAACUAAGUCAUCUCGGAAGGCCCUGUGUUCGACUCACAGUCGGGAGA
rnacentral:tRNA from 1 species